CGGCCGACAACUGCCGGU
rnacentral:misc_RNA from 1 species